rnacentral:rRNA from 1 species
AGAACGAACGCUGGCGGCAGGCUUAACACAUGCAAGUCGAACGCUCACCUUCGGGUGGGAGUGGCAGACGGGUGAGUAACGCGUGGGAACGUACCCUUUGGUUCGGAAUAACCCAGGGAAACUUGGGCUAAUACCGGAUAAGCAGGAAACUGGAAAGGUUUACCGCCGAAGGAUCGGCCCGCGUCGGAUUAGCUAGUUGGUGGGGUAAAAGCCUACCAAGGCGACGAUCCGUAGCUGGUCUGAGAGGAUGAUCAGCCACACUGGGACUGAGACACGGCCCAGACUCCUACGGGAGGCAGCAGUGGGGAAUAUUGGACAAUGGGCGCAAGCCUGAUCCAGCCAUGCCGCGUGAGUGAAGAAGGCCUUAGGGUUGUAAAGCUCUUUCAGCGGGGGAAGAGUAAUGACGGUACCCGCAGAAGAAGCCCGGCUAACUUCGUGCCAGCAGCCGC